CUACGGGGGGCAGCAGUGAGGAAUAUUGCACAAUGGGGGGAACCCUGAUGCAGCAACGCCGCGUGGAGGAUGACGCAUUUCGGUGUGUAAACUCCUUUUAUAUGUCAAGAAAAUGACGGUAGCAUAUGAAUAAGCACCGGCUAACUCCGUGCCAGCACCCGCGGUAAUACGGAGGGUGCAAGCGUUACUCGGAAUCACUGGGCGUAAAGGACGCGUAGGCGGGUUGGAAAGUCAGGAGUGAAAUCCUACAGCUUAACUGUAGAACUGCACUUGAAACUUCUAAUCUAAAGUAUGGGAGGGGAGAUGGAAUUAGUGGUGUAGGGGUAAAAUCCGUAGAUAUCACUAGGAAUACCUAAAGCGAAGGCGAUCUCCUGGAACAUUACUGAUGCUAAGGCGUGAAAGCGUGGGGAGCAAACAGGAUUAGAUACCCGAGUAGUC
rnacentral:rRNA from 1 species